ACUCCUACGGGAGGCAGCAGUGGGGAAUAUUGCACAAUGGGCGCAAGCUGACUGCAGCCAUGCCGCGUGUGUGAAGAAGGCCUUCGGGUUGUAAAGCACUUUCAGUCNUGAGGAAAGGUAGNGUAGUUAAUAGCGCAUUAUUGACGUUAGCGACAGAAGAAGCACCGGCUAACUCCGUGCCAGCAGCCGCGGUAAUACGGAGGGUGCGAGCGUUAAUCGGAAUUACUGGGCGUAAAGCGCAUGCAGGU
rnacentral:rRNA from 1 species